rnacentral:tRNA from 1 species
GGAGAUGUAGCUCAAGUUGUAAAGCACUCACUUUGCAUGUGAGAGGUGCGGGGUUCAAUCCCUCACAUCUCAU